rnacentral:lncRNA from 1 species
CCCGCACAAAGGUAUUGUGUUCUGAACACAGAACAGUAAAUUAUUUACUGUUCAAAUUUGAAUUUUAAAUUUAAAUGCAUGCAUGCUAUAUAUCAUAUUUAGAUCCUAGUGUAGGGUAAAUAAAUGUUAAUUAAUUAGAUUAAUUAAUAAUUUCUACUAUAAAAUAAUGAUUUUGAAAAAAAUUUAAAAUUACCAUUUUACCCUUGCACUAAAAUUUCACUUCAAUAGGUUCGAACCUAAGUCGGUGGCACAGGAACUGAUUCUUAUACCAAUCGAAAUAACCAUCUAGUAAUAGUACCCGACGUCCAGAC